rnacentral:lncRNA from 1 species
AUGGCCUCUCCCAAGGAGGCUCACAAUGGGCGCGGACAUAUUGCUCGCUAAGGAGCCUACGAAAUCCAAUCUCGUUGGCGUCCUUACGUCCUCGUCGGCCGCCUAGGUUUCCUGGAUUUAAACGCCAGAAACGGAGGCACUCCCAGAAUUCGCCUAGCCACCUGUAGAUCUUGUUGGCCUAACCGGAAGCAAGGAUCGAACUUGGGACCUUGCACUUGUGAAGCAGGCGGUGGAACCACUGAGCUAAAUCCCUGGCACCAGAUGAUUAGAUUCUUAAGAUGUGCUCUGUUUUCUGGACAUAGACACAGACACACACACACACACACACACACACACACACACGCACAAAUGAUACAGAAUUUAGGAAAGAACCAAGCUAUAAAAUCAGUGUACACAAAUCAAUAGCCUUUUCUGUGCAAUGGGCUGGAAACAACCGUGUAUCUCUUUAAAUAAAUCAUGUGUUGAAAUGCUCACCCCUGGUGUUACAGUAUUAGGAACAGGAGCCUUUGAGAGGAGAAGAGAGAGCUCUGAUGAAUAGGAUGAAUGCUCUUAUAAUGGGGCCCCAGGGAUCUGCCUUGCUGUCCUUCCUCUAUGUGAAUACACAAGUGGAAGUCUGACAGUCUGCAACCCUGAGGGUCCUAGCCUGUGUCCCGCUAUGCAGCCGUUCUAAUCUCAGACUUCUAGUCUACAGAACUGUGAAACAUUAAUUUCUGGUGUUCAUAGGCCCUGAAGUCUGGUAGUCUCUUGAUAUUUGAACAACAUAUACAUUGUUGUAAGAUUUUAUUCUUUUUUGUGUACCAGUUUCUCAGAUACAUGGUACUUUGUUCCACGGUAUAGGGUAGGAUGUUACAGUAAAAUAAACAGAAUGGCGGAGGUAUUUGUUGGUUGUUUACUAACUUUUAAAAACAUUCUUAUUUUGUUUGUAAAGGUGGUAUUAAGCUCACAUCGAGUGCUUAUAAUAAACUCAUUUUGCAUGUCUAUUUGGCAUGUAUUUAACUAGAUAAAACACUGGG